UAUAUUUGGGUAUUUUUAAAUACCCAAAUAUAGAUAUCGCGAAAAGAGAUUUUAAAAGAGAAUUAUCAAAUAAUCUUGUUCUUUUACAAAAAGGAUUAUCUUGAAUCAAUUUAUAACAUAAAUUUCAUUAAAUUACUUGCACAUUAUAAUCGAUUGAAAUUACUCAGUAGGUAAUAAAGUUAUAAAUUUGAAACUAAAAUAUAGUUUUCGCAAUAUCUUUUAACCUGAAAUAGAAAUUGCAAUAUAGAAGAAAUUCUAAAUCGAACCAUACUUUACAUUUAACGUGAUAAACCAUACGAAUUUCGUAAAGAGCAAUAAUCUGGGUACUAUCCAAUUCCAAUUAUAAUGUUCUAUCAUAUAAUAUUCGGAUUUCAAACGUAAUUGGUAAAACGAUAGGAACGUGUGAAAUAAAUUUAUUAUUGUAUCUAAAGAAAUUUUGUGUGAAAUAACAUGAGCUCGUAAUGUAUUAUCUGAAAGAUGUAAUUGUAAACAAACAUCAGUUCAACUUUACUUAACUUAAUAAAUUUUAAAUUUAUGUUAAAAUGAUUAUAAUAUAAUAUAUAUAAUAUUUAGCUGAAUUAAAAUUUUAUAUUAAUAUGGCAAAUAAUUUGCUUAUUAAAUGAAUGUGUCGUGAAAACACGUUACAAUUCAUGGAUUGUUUUAACGAAACAUUUUAUUGAAGAUAUUAUCCGUCACGAUGCCAGGCAAAAUAAAAGUGAAAAUACUGGCGGGUCGCAAUCUGCCAGUAAUGGAUCGUUCUGGUGAUACGACGGAUGCAUAUGUCGAAUUGAAAUUUGGCAAUAUAACAUUCAAAACAGAUGUAUGUAGAAAAUCUCUUAAUCCUCAAUGGAAUUCAGAAUGGUACAGAUUUGAAGUUGAUGAUUCUGAACUGCAAGAUGAGCCAUUGCAGAUCAGAUUAAUGGACCAUGAUACUUAUUCUGCAAAUGAUGCAAUAGGAAAAGUUUAUAUAAAUUUAAAUCCAUUAUUGUUACCUGGUGUUCCUCCUACUGUUAAAAAUAUUUGGACAUUAGAAGCUGCAAUGAAUACCAAUGCUGGAUCUCAGAGUGGUUCUGUUAUGACUGGAUGGAUACCAGUAUAUGAUACAAUGCAUGGAAUUCGUGGUGAAGUUAAUAUUAUUGUUAAAGUAGAAUUAUUCUCUGAUUUUAAUAAAUUCAGACAAUCCUCCUGUGGAGUACAAUUUUUUUAUUCACCAAAUAUACCUCAUGGAUAUCAUACUCAAAGUAUACAUGGUUUUGUAGAAGAAUUAGUUGUUAGUGAUGAUCCUGAAUAUAAAUGGAUUGAUAAAAUAAGAACACCUAGAGCGUCAAAUGAGGCAAGACAAACAUUAUUUUUUAAAUUGAGUGGAGAAGUUCAAAGAAAAAUUGGAUUGAAAGCUUUAGAUCUUGGUGGAAAUGCUGUUAUUGGGUACUUACAAAAUUUUGAUUUGGAAGGUGAAUCUGGUAUUGUAGCUCGAGGUAUAGGUACAGCUGUUACACUUGUGAAAUUGCAAGAUACUUUAAAUCUUCCAUCUGAUAAUAUAGAAGAGGCAUUAUUUUCACAACACAAAGCACGAAAGGAACAUGCAGGAUUCGAUGAGAAUAUGCCGCUAUAUCCCGUUACUCCCACAAAUAUCCUUAAUCCUUUUUCUGCAACACGAACCACGCGCAUAAAGGAUAAUUUGUCUCAUCGUUUAAAAUUGUCCAAAAGUCCUCGACGAAAAUUUGUAUGUCCUUGUCGUAAAUUAAACACUAUAAGAUCUAUUGAAAACUCAUCAAAAUUAAAUGAUGUAAAAAAAACCACAAUUUCGUAUCCAAUUUUAAUUGAAUCGAUCGUUCAAGAUCCAUCUAUAAGAAUGAUGUUAGCAUUGGAAGAUGAAAGAGGUGAAAAUACAAAAAAUAUAUUGGAUGUUCGUAAAAAUUUGAAAAGAUUAUUCAAUACAAGUGAUACAGAAAAAUCUAAUUCUCGAUUAAACAGUUUAACUGGAUCUUCUAUUAUAAAUAUUAAAUAUCCAAAAAAAGAAAAAAUAUUUAAGGACAAUACAAUUAAAACAGGUGUGACAGCUCUGAUAAAGUCAAUACAUAAUAUACCCUUAGAGAAUGUUAAAGAAAAUCAUCAAUCGAUGACAUAUUCUAUGUGUGAUAAUACAAAAGAAUGCAUUGAUAAAUAUAAAGAAAAUAUUGAAAAUAAAGAAGAGUUUAAAAAUGAAACUUAUAAUAUAACAUCGAAAACACAGAUGAAAAACGAACAUGAAUCUUCAUUUGAAGAAAAUACAUCUAGUUCUAAUAGCUUUUCAGAUGAAUCUUCGAUUGAUAGUGCUAGUUAUAAUAUUUUAAAUGAUUCGAAAUUUUCAACUGAAGAAGAAAUAGAAGCUAUGAAUAAAUUUAAUAAAUUUUGUGGAGCUAAUACAUAUCCUCCAUUAAAAAAAAAAUUGUCACAAAUACGAUUGCAGAAAACAGAUAGUGAUAUGUGUCCUCUUUAUAAACGAAGUACAUCUUCACUUACAAAAUAUCUAUCUGUGCAUCAAAUAUUGACACAUAAUGUUAAUUUUACAAUUAAUUCGGAAAAUAAAAAAAAUUAUACCCAAAAGACAAUAACAUUUUCUAAUAAAGAUAAGGAAAAUGAAGAAAUUCUACAAACUUUACAACAAAAUACCGAUAUCUCGCAAGAUUUCAAUUUUGCACUUGCAACGAGUACGCCUACAGAAAUUCAAUCUCCUUUUUUCUCAAAAGUUCAAGAACCUGAUUUUUCGGUUAUUGAUGCAGCAAAAAAAUUAACUAUUUUUGUUACUGAUUCUGAAAAAUGUGAUAAAUUUAAAGAAUGCAAUAAAAUUUCUAUAGUAGAAGAAUCUGAACAUACUUCAACGGAUGCAAACAAUACGAAAGAUGAUGAAUUAUUUUAUGCUGAUAAUUCUGAAGUAUCAAUACCUACAUAUUCAAUGCUAAAUAACAUUAAGAAUAAAAAUAAAAUAGAAAUGCACAAACAAAUUGAUAAAGACCAGAAAUUUCCUUCUGUAAUUGAACAAGUGGAUAAAAUCACUUUGCAAGAUUCUUUUAAAAAUAAACAACAUUUUGAAAGAUUAGAGGAACGUGAAAUAUUAAAAUUGACUUUAUCAACACAGUCACUUCCAUCAUUACAACAGUAUCAAUUCUCUACUAUAAAAUCAAAUAAAGAAGAUAUAAAUAAAAAAUUAACUCCAGAAGUUAUGUUAAAAACUUCAUCUAGCAUUGAAAGUUUGAUACAGUCUUCCGGUAAUGAAAUUUUUUAUUUGAUGCAUAAAAAUAGACAACGACGUAUGUUAGAUUUAAUUAAAAUAAUUGAUACGAAAAUGAUGGUACAUUCGUCUCAUCAUAACGAUAAUGAUAGUUAUUUAAGGAAGAAAAAACGAAAUAAAUUAUAUAAUAGAAAUUUUAAUUCUCGGAAUUUAUGUCAAAAUUUGCAUAAUCAGUUUUUAAAGAAACGUUUUCAAAAUAACAAACAUGCAAAAAUUAUGCGCGUGCCUUCGUUUUCUAAAGAUUUUUUUUUAAAUAAAUCUGUAUCUACAUUAAUUACACCUGAUACCUCUUCCUAUAAUUCCUCUCUCGAAAGUAUAAUCAUUCAUGAUCCAUUAGUUCAAUCACAUUUAUGCAGAACAACUGAAUCAUUUUCUUCAAGAGAUAGUUUCAUAACCAAAAGAUCUACAGUCGAUCUAUGCGACGUUUCUACAAGAGAAUUAAUUUUAGAUACUCAUAGCAAUAAUUCAUUUAAAAAUAAUAAUAAUAUUAUAGAACUGAAGCAACUAAAGCCAAAAGAUACUAACUAUUCAAUGUUAUCUACAUCUGUAGAUCAUGUGGUACAUGAGAAUCAUAGCAUUUGUAAUAUAAAAGAAAUAUUAGAUCAAGAAUUAACUAAUAUUACUAACACUGCUAAUAUAACUUGCAACUCGUAUGUGUCCCCUCCUUCCCCCAAUCAUAGGCAACAAGAUGAGGCAUCUCUAAGUCCAUCUUAUCCACUUCCGGCUGUUCCUCCUAUGGUCUCAAAAGUAUGUCAGUUACCAACAACUAAGGCACAACCCACUGCCUCAUUGCAUCGAAGAUCCAGUGAUUCUGAUUUGAGCGUUACUCCAAAAGGCAAUUCAUUUGGAGCAAAUGAUAGAUCAGUAACUGGAUUAUUAAAAACAUCGACCGCUGUAAUACGAACUAUGAAUCAAGAUGCAUUUGAAAUGCUAGAAUAUCCAUUUAUUACAAUGCAACAGUAUCCAUCAGGAUUUAUUUUGCAUAUCGGUGGUCUUGUAAGUUCAAGAUCAGUGAAACUUCUUGAAAGAAUCAGUAAUUUAGAAGAACCUGAAAGUCGCGAUGCUUGGUGGAAAGAGGUCAGAAUGGAAGUUCGAUCGCAUGCCAGAGCAUUAGCAUGUAAUGUAGUUAUCGGUUAUAGAGAGGAAACUAGUAUUUGCGAUGAUGUUUGUGUAUUAAAUGCAUACGGUACUGCAGCAAUAAUCAAUCUUCAUAGUUCAAACCAGGAAUCAGACAAUGUUUUUAUCAGUAAAGGACAAUCAGGAUCCGGUGUUAAUCCCACGGAAGCAGAACGUGAAAAAGCUCAACAGAAAUCUGUACCUGUAAAAGUAGAAAAAAGUGAUACAGAUACAUCUGUACCAAAUUUGAUACAAACCAGCAAAACAAGGCAUAUUUCAGAAAGUAGAGAUCAUGAGAUUCAAUUUCAAAGCAAAUGUAGUCUAUGUCAUUUGCCAUACAAUGAAGCAAGCGUUCCAUUUCGCGUAAAUGUUUCAAAAUGCGCCAUAUGUAAACGUGCCAGAGUACCAGAUGUAAUGUUUACUACUAUAGAGUUACCAGAAAAUCUUCUAACGAUCGGUCGAGGAUGUAUCAUUCAAGCUACUGCGUGUAAAGCUAAAAAGGAUCUUAGAGGAGAAUUAAAUGCGAAGGAGAUAUCAGAUUGCUUGCCAUUUUUAGAAUAUGAAUUACAUAGUUUACUCUUAAAUAAGUUAAAGGUUAAGGGAAUGAAUGCGAUAUUUGGCUUAAAGCUACAAGUUUCUGUUGGAGAACGAUUAAUUAUUGGUAUGGCCGUGGGUACAGCUGUUUUUUUAACUGCAUUACCUACGCCCUCUAUCCCACAAAUUGCGUCUGGAAAUUCUUGGCAUAAAGAAGAGCAAUUAGCUGAAAUUCAGAAAACUUUAGUUGAAACAGUCAAACAGAACAGAGAGUUUUAUCGACUUAAACCUGUUGGAGAUAUUGAAAAUGGACGAGUUACAACUUCUGAUACUGACGAAUCAGACGAUGAUUUACCGGAUUUAGAUUUUAGUGUGGGUCCAAGAGAUACUUGUGUAUUAGAAGUUGAUGAUAUUGAAGAUAUGGAUAGAAUAUCGUUAUUGAUGGAUGACAGACCCCCAGAGGAUUUCCAUGUAGUAAAUACUCAAACAAUUCCUGGCUUAGAUGAUUUAGAAAUCGUGAGGAAUUUACAAAUGUUUACUCAAAUUUCAAGAACAAAAAUUCCUGCUGGACAAUUUGCAUCAAUGCCUUCUAAAUUUUUCGCCAGGUUACUGCAGUCUGUAUAUUUUAAAUUAAGAAGAAUGAUUCCUUGUGCCCUAUGUGAUAUGCAAUUUAAGUUAGCACUUCCUGAACCAGAUGAAAUACAAUUUACAGUAAUUGGUAUGGCUCUUGGAUUAGGAGAUCCAAUAAAAAUGAAUAAAUCUAAAAAAAAAAUGAUAAGCCAUUCUGCAAGUAAAGAUCAAGUUAAAAAAUUAGAUGAUAGUGAUAUGAUAUUUAAUCUUGAUGUGGAUCAUACAGAAGUUUCAUCAGAUAAUGCAUCAAGCAGUAAUCUAAAUUUAACUACCUUACAUAGUAUGCCAUCACUGAAAUCUCGGACUCGUUCUCCAUUACGAUCCAAAAACAUUCAUACAACGCGUAGACACAAACAUGUGCCUUUAAAAGGAAGAUAUGGUGUAGAUAUAACACCUUUGUCUUACCUACCAGGUGGUCGUAUAGAAAGAUACUUAGGAAAUUUAAAUUUCUUCUUCAUUCGUGAAAGCACAUCUAUUAGAGAAAAUGGAGGUCUAAGUGGAUUUACCCAUAGUUUCGUAAUGGAAGUUUUAGCAAUUGUUCGCGCGCAUAUUACAGCUUUGGGAGGUAAUGCAAUGGUAGCGUUUUUUAUGACUAAAUGUGUACUUCUUCACAGUCCACAUAAAAACCAAGGUCAAUGUUUGAUAAACGUUGGUGGAGAUGUAGUAUCUGUAUCGUAUUUCGCGGAUGAAAAGCAAUGUGGAGUUUCAAAUUGCUGACCCCAACCUCCACAUUCUGCACCUCCAUAGCUACAACCUUACUCUGAGAAGCAACGUCGAAAAUUUGACUUCUCUUUGAUCGAUGAACUUCAUUAGUCGUCUUGGACGGACUUGUAUCUCAUAAUCCCGUGAUAGGAUAGGCUCUCCAUUUCUGAACCAAGCUCGUAUAUCCUGGAAAGUGCGACACAGACUUUGCGGAUCCUUGGAGGAAGAUCAUCAAGGAAACCAGGAUUACAUUGAGUUGGUAAAGCUGCCAAGACAUUGUUGCAGAAUAUUGCCAUGGUCGUCAUUGAAAAAAGGAUGACAAUCGUUGAACCCAUCAUGCUUGUAAAAAAGUAGAAUAUGUAUUUUUAACAUAAAUGUACAUUAUUAUUUAUAAUGAAAUAAAAUAAAAUAUAAAUUUUUA
rnacentral:misc_RNA from 1 species